CGGACGGGUGAGUAACGCGUGGAAAACCUGCCGUAUACUGGGGGAUAACACUUAGAAAUAGGUGCUAAUACCGCAUAAGCGCACAGCUUCGCAUGAAGCAGUGUGAAAAACUCCGGUGGUAUACGAUGGUUCCGCGUCUGAUUAGCUAGUUGGUGAGGUAAAAGCCCACCAAGGCGACGAUCAGUAGCCGGCCUGAGAGGGUGAACGGCCACAUUGGGACUGAGACACGGCCCAGACUCCUACGGAAGGCAGCAG
rnacentral:rRNA from 1 species